AUUGAACGCUGGCGGCAGGCCUAACACAUGCAAGUCGAACGAGUGGCGGACGGGUGAGUAAUGUCUGGGAAACUGCCCGAUGGAGGGGGAUAACUACUGGAAACGUUAGCUAAUACCGCAUACAAUCGGAUGUGCCCAGAUGGGAUUAGCUAGGAGGUGGGGUAACGGCUCACCUAGGCGAAGAUACCUAGCUGGUCUGAGAGGAUGACCAGCCACACUGGGACUGAGACACGGUCCAGACUCCGUCGGGAGGCCGCAGUGGGGAAUAUUGCAUAAUGGGCGCAGGCCUGAUGCAGCCAGGCCGCGGGUAUGAAGAAGGCCUUCGGGUUGUAAAGUAAUUUCAGCGGGGAGGCGUUACUCGCAGAAGAAGCACCGGCUAACUCCGUGCCAGCCGCCGCGGUAAUAC
rnacentral:rRNA from 1 species